GAUGAACGCUGGCGGCGUGCCUAAUACAUGCAAGUCGAGCGAACAGACGAGGAGCUUGCUCCUCUGACGUUAGCGGCGGACGGGUGAGUAACACGUGGAUAACCUACCUAUAAGACUGGGAUAACUUCGGGAAACCGGAGCUAAUACCGAAUAAUAUAUUGAACCGCAUGGUUCAAUAGUGAAAGACGGUUUUGCUGUCACUUAUAGAUGGAUCCGCGCCGCAUUAGCUAGUUGGUAAGGUAACGGCUUACCAAGGCAACGAUGCGUAGCCGACCUGAGAGGGUGAUCGGCCACACUGGAACUGAGACACGGUCCAGACUCCUACGGGAGGCAGCAGUAGGGAAUCUUCCGCAAAGGGCGAAAGCCUGACGGAGCAACGCCGCGUGAGUGAUGAAGGUCUUCGGAUCGUAAAACUCUGUUAUUAGGGAAGAACAAAUGUGUAAGUAACUAUGCACGUCUUGACGGUACCUAAUCAGAAAGCCACGGCUAACUACGUG
rnacentral:rRNA from 1 species